AUCUACCUAGUAGUAUGGGAUAGCCACUGGAAAUGGUGGGUAAUACCGUAUAAUCCCUGCGGGGGAAAGAUUUAUCGCUAUUAGAUGAGCCUAUGUCGGAUUAGCUAGUUGGUGGGGUAAUGGCCUACCAAGGCAGUGAUCUGUAGCUGGUCUGAGAGGAUGAUCAGCCACACUGGAACUGAGACACGGUCCAGACUCCUACGGGAGGCAGCAGUGGGGAAUAUUGGACAAUGGGCGCAAGCCUGAUCCAGCUAUGCCGCGUGAGUGAGGAAGGCCUUAGGGUUGUAAAACUCUUUCAGUAGGGAAGAUAAUGACGGUACCUA
rnacentral:rRNA from 1 species